UUGUGAUUAGCUUGGUCAGUUGGU
rnacentral:piRNA from 1 species